UCCGUAGGUGAACCUGCGGAGGGAUCAUUACCGAGUUUACAACUCCYAAACCCCUGGUGAACAUACCAAUUAGGUUAGCCUCGGCGGAUCAGCCCGCUCCCGGUAAAACGGGACGGCCCGCCAGAGGACCCCUAAACUCUAGUUUCUAUAUGUAACUUCUGAGUAAAACCAUAAAUAAAUCAAAACUUUCAACAACGGAUCUCUUGGUUCUGGCAUCGAUGAAGAACGCAGCAAAAUGCGAUAAGUAAUGUGAAUUGCAGAAUUCAGUGAAUCAUCGAAUCUUUGAACGCACAUUGCGCCCGCCAGUAUUCUGGCGGGCAUGCCUGUUCGAGCGUCAUUUCAACCCUCAAGCCCAGCUUGGUGUUGGGACUCGCGAGUCAAAUCGCGUUCCCCAAAUUGAUUGGCGGUCACGUCGAGCUUCCAUAGCGUAGUAGUAAAACCCUCGUUACUGGUAAUCGUCGCGGCCACGCCGUUAAACCCCAACUUCUGAAUGUUGACCUCGGAUCCAGGUAGGAAUACCCGCUGAACUUAAGCAUAUCAAUAAGCGGAGGAGGA
rnacentral:rRNA from 1 species